ACAGGUGGAACCGAGGGCAG
rnacentral:miRNA from 1 species